UCCCCGUUGCCAGGGCAGUCUGACUUGAAAAUCCAACAAGCCAUAAGGGUUGCGCUCGUUGCGGGACUUAACCCAACAUCUCACGACACGAGCUGACGACGGCCAUGCAACACCUGUCACUGGGUUCCCGAAGGCACAGCCCUAUUUCUAGGGCCUUCCCAGGAUGUCAAGCCUCGGUAAGGUUCUUCGCGUAUCAUCGAAUUAAACCACAUGCUCCACUGCUUGUGCGGGUCCCCGUCAAUUCCUUUGAGUUUUAAGCUUGCGCUCGUACUCCCCAGGCGGGAUGCUUAACGCGUUAGCUUCGUUACCAAACGGGUCGAUACGUCUAGCAACUAGCAUCCAUCGUUUACGGCGUGGACUAC
rnacentral:misc_RNA from 1 species